rnacentral:lncRNA from 1 species
CUGUGACAGUUUUAGACACUGGCUGUGAACAAUACUGUCGAAUCUCUCAUAAAAGUUUAAACGAUUCCAAGAUUGAGUUGACUAUUCGACAGGUAAGGAGGGAUGACGAGGGACGAUAUUACUGUGACAUAAAAGGUUCUCGGACUCUCAAGUUUCGAGGAAAGGGUACACUUCUCCAAAUUAAAGGUGAGAAUUCAAUAAACUGCAGACACUAAUUUAGGCCAAACUCAUACGUCAUUAAUAUAUGCCAAUAGGUCUGUUGAGCAAAUUGGACUAUGGAGUAGGCCUGAGGGCAAGGAUAUAUCGAAAAUGGGCAAAGAGAAAUAUUUCUUUCAGUCACUGGAUUAAAGUAACCUAAUCUCAUCUGAUACAUGAAAUGGCAUUUCAGAGUCUGAGACCGGGACCAACAGGAGUGAGGUGAUGUUGUUGAGAGAAUUCGAGAGCUCCAUGAUGAAACCAGCUUUAGAGAAACACCGAACAUCUGUGCUAUGUUGCCUUGUGACCGCUUUGCCCACUCCGAAUAUCAUCAUCACUUGGCAUUCAUCCCAUGGACGGGUGGAAGCCGGUCAGACCUGGGUAUCUGACGCUAACGAAAGGUUCACUGCAGGAUGCCGACUACAAAUAAACGUGACAACUGGCAAGGACUCCCAAAUUUCCCCAAAUGCCGAGGAGCACAGGGAGGAGUGGUGGUGUGAGGUGCAGCAGGGAGAUUUCACAUUGAGAAGUGAAACGUCUUCAAUUUACACAACUAAAGGUAAUGUGCCUUUACUAUCUUGGCUCUUUCUUCUUGUAACUGACACGAACUGAUGCUGUCUGCCUCAUAUGUCACCUUCGGUUCACUGAUUCUCCUCCUUUAGUGUCCGAGGGGUGUCCUGCUGUCCUGUACUCCGCUGUGGCACUCAUCUCGCUGUGUGUUCUGUCCCUCGUCCUGCUCACCUCUCACUGGAUCCUCUACUUGCGCAAAGGUUUGUUACACAUAGAAGGAGCAGCACGAAGAUGUCAUUAAGUGCCGAUAAGAGCUGUAUAAUAAUCUUAUUACCCAAUAUAUUGC